rfam:Neotoma lepida isolate 417 scaffold_14347, whole genome shotgun sequence.
AUGGAGAUGGCUCAGUGGUUAAGAGCACUGGCUACUCUUGCAGAGGACCUGGGUUUGAUUCCUAGCACCCAUA